GUGAGGAGGAUGUCUGUGGAUUGUAAACCUCUUUUCUCUGGGAAGAAGAUCUGACGGUACCAGAGGAAUCAGCAUCGGCUAACUCCGUGCCAGCAGCCGCGGUAAGACGGAGGAUGCAAGCGUUAUCCGGAAUUAUUGGGCGUAAAGCGUCCGUAGGCGGUCGAAUAAGUCAGUUGUUAAAGACUGCAGCUCAACUGCGGGAGAGCAACUGAAACUGCUUGACUAGAGUACGGCAGGGGUAGAGGGAAUUCCCAGUGUAGCGGUGAAAUGCGUAGAUAUUGGGAAGAACACCAGUGGCGAAGGCGCUCUACUGGGCCGAGACUGACGCUGAUGGACGAAAGCUAGGGGAGCGAAAGGGAUUAGAUC
rnacentral:rRNA from 1 species